rnacentral:rRNA from 1 species
AUUGAACGCUGGCGGCAGGCUUAACACAUGCAAGUCGAGCGGAAACGAUACCAGCUUGCUGGUAGGCGUCGAGCGGCGGACGGGUGAGUAACACUUAGGAAUCUACCUAGUAGUGGGGGAUAGCUCGGGGAAACUCGAAUUAAUACCGCAUACGACCUACGGGAGAAAGGGGGCAGUUUACUGCUCUCGCUAUUAGAUGAGCCUAAGUCGGAUUAGCUAGAUGGUGGGGUAAAGGCCUACCAUGGCGACGAUCUGUAGCUGGUCUGAGAGGAUGAUCAGCCACACCGGGACUGAGACACGGCCCGGACUCCUACGGGAGGCAGCAGUGGGGAAUAUUGGACAAUGGGGGCAACCCUGAUCCAGCCAUGCCGCGUGUGUGAAGAAGGCCUUUUGGUUGUAAAGCACUUUAAGCAGUGAAGAAGACCAUAUGGCUAUACCCAUAUGCGAUGACAUUAGCUGCAGAAUAAGCACCGGCUAACUCUGUGCCAGCAGCCGCGGUAAUACAGAGGGUGCAAGCGUUAAUCGGAAUUACUGGGCGUAAAGCGAGCGUAGGUGGCUUGAUAAGUCAGAUGUGAAAUCCCCGGGCUUAACCUGGGAACUGCAUCUGAUACUGUUAAGCUAGAGUAGGUGAGAGGGAAGUAGAAUUCCAGGUGUAGCGGUGAAAUGCGUAGAGAUCUGGAGGAAUACCGAUGGCGAAGGCAGCUUCCUGGCAUCAUACUGACACUGAGGCUCGAAAGCGUGGGUAGCAAACAGG